AUACGGAGGGUGCAAGCGUUAUUCGGAAUCACUGGGCGUAAAGGACGCGUAGGCGGGUUGGCAAGUCAGAUGUGAAAUCCUACAGCUUAACUGUAGAACUGCAUUUGAAACUGCUAACCUAGAGUAUGGGAGGGGGAGAUGGAAUUAGUGGUGUAGGGGUAAAAUCCGUAGAUAACACUAGGAAUACCGAAAGCGAAGGCGAUCUCCUGGAACAUAACUGACGCUAAGGCGUGAAAGCGUGGGGAGCAAACAGGAUUAGAAACCCUUGUAGUCC
rnacentral:rRNA from 1 species